GCCUUUGCAUCGGCGCGACCGGCGUCCUAUAUUCGAGGGGCCGGUUCGCCGGCUAUGACGCUAAACCCUGUCUGGAAUAAGCGUAGUGGACCCGGGGGCAGUACCCGGCGCCUCCACCAUUUGCCGAACCAGGGAGCGGUUCCGCGACCGGAGGCGGAACCGCGACCUUGGGGCGAACCAUGGGGGCGAAACAGGAUCGACACGCGUGGUAAAGAGGCAGGUUGCGUCCGGCAUGGCACCACCGUUAUCGGGCCAAACGCAAUAGUUGCCAACGACAACUAUGCUCCGGAAGCUGCCGCCGCGUAAUGCGGCGUCGGUGACCGAUCAAAGCCCCGGGCGGUAGCACGUCCGGGCGGGGUCCGGGGGGCACCUGGCAACAGAAGCCCCCCACU
rnacentral:tmRNA from 1 species